rnacentral:rRNA from 1 species
GAAGGUGUGCUGUGAGGCAUGCUGGAGGUAUCAGAAGUGCGAAUGCUGACAUAAGUAACGAUAAAGCGGGUGAAAAGCCCGCUCGCCGGAAGACCAAGGGUUCCUGUCCAACGUUAAUCGGGGCAGGGUGAGUCGACCCCUAAGGCGAGGCCGAAAGGCGUAGUCGAUGGGAAACAGGUUAAUAUUCCUGUACUUGGUGUUACUGCGAAGGGGGGACGGAGAAGGCUAUGUUGGCCGGGCGACGGUUGUCCCGGUUUAAGCGUGUAGGCUGGUUUUCCAGGCAAAUCCGGAAAAUCAAGGCUGAGGCGUGAUGACGAGGCACUACGGUGCUGAAGCAACAAAUGCCCUGCUUCCAGGAAAAGCCUCUAAGCAUCAGGUAACAUCAAAUCGUACCCCAAACCGACACAGGUGGUCAGGUAGAGAAUACCAAGGCGCUUGAGAGAACUCGGGUGAAGGAACUAGGCAAAAUGGUGCCGUAACUUCGGGAGAAGGCACGCUGAUA